UACGGAGGGUGCAAGCGUUAAUCGGAAUUACUGGGCGUAAAGCGCACGCAGGUGGCUGAGUCAGUCGAUUGUGAAAGCCCUGGGCUUAACCUGGGAAUUGCAGUCGAUACUACUCAGCUAGAGUAUGGGAGAGGGCAGUGGAAUUCCCGGUGUAGCGGUGAAAUGCGUAGAUAUCGGGAGGAACAUCAGUGGCGAAGGCGGCUGCCUGGCCCAAUACUGACACUCAGGUGCGACAGCGUGGGGAG
rnacentral:rRNA from 1 species